CAUCUUGAAUAAAUGUGUUCAUUAGCUUUAGUAUUGAUCAGGUUGAUAUUAGUUUGAUAAGCCUGCUGUUGUCAUUUUUCUCCAUAAGACACUGGAUUCAGACUCUGUGCCAAACAGCAGUGGAUGUGUGAAAAGCCAGGACGUUUUAGUGGUGGACUGUAUUUUCUGUGAUGGUGAAGGACUGCCUGACUGCGUAAAAAAUCAGGAAGCAAUUUCUGCAGUUGCAGACUGGAUAAAAAAUAAAUUUAGAGACCACUAAGGACGGGGAGCAGAAUGACACUGAGGAUCGAUAAAUCACCUCAUCAACCAUUCAGAAAGAUCCUGUGACUCUGACAACUACAUACCUCAACUCUUCACAGUUGAGAUCCGCUUUAGCUUGUGUCUAAUUAUUAUCCAGUUUAUUCCAGCCACAGUGAACUAAAAACAGAUGUAAUUUGUCUCAGACAAAUCACUGUCUGUUUUAUUGACUCAUAGCAUGUGCAUGAAUUGUAUUUACAGAAGCCUAGCAUGUUGACAGGCAUUUACUGUGCAAACCAUUAUACUGAAUAGUUCAAAAGUCCUAUUGGCUACUAAUGAAUGCAAAUAAAUGACCUGACAAUGAGUGUACAAAGGAGUAAAUCUCUCCUUGCUGCAUAGCAAAGUUCAUGUAUGAUAACAAACUAAUGUUCCGUUCUUCUAAUUCCUUACAUUAAUGCAGAGGCAAAUAUAACUAGUUAAAUUCUAUGUAUUUAAUUAAGAGAUUUUCAGUGAAUUGUUUCUGUGUUGGUGUUAAGUAAUUAUACUGUAUUUAAUCUGCAUGGUGUAUUGAUAGAUUCUGUCUGCUACUGUGCCUUUACUCUAAAUCGUUGCCUGUAA